rnacentral:rRNA from 2 species
UUCCAGAUACUGUCCUUAUCAUCUCUGGCGAAAGUGCUUUACGACCCUAGGGCCUUCAUCACACACGCGGCAUGGCUAGAUCAGGGUUGCCCCCAUUGUCUAAGAUUCCCUACUGCUGCCUCCCGUAGGAGUCUGGGCCGUGUCUCAGUCCCAGUGUGGCUGAUCAUCCUCUCAAACCAGCUAUAGAUCGUAGGCUUGGUAGGCCAUUACCCCACCAACUACCUAAUCUAACGCGGGCUAAUCCUUCUCCGAUAAAUCUUUCCCCCCAAAGGGCGUAUAAGGUAUUACUCUCCGUUUCCAGAGGCUAUUCCUUAGAGAAGGGCAUAUUCCCACGCGUUACUCACCCGUCCGCCGCUCACCCCGAAGGGCGCGCUCGACUUGCAUGUAUUAGGCCUGCCGCCAGCGUUCGUUCUGAGCCAUGAUCAAACUCUAAUCGAAUUCCCGCGGCCG